rnacentral:rRNA from 1 species
AACGAACGCUGGCGGCAUGCCUAACACAUGCAAGUCGAACGAAGGCUUCGGCCUUAGUGGCGCACGGGUGCGUAACGCGUGGGAAUCUGCCCUUUGGUUCGGAAUAACAGCUGGAAACGGCUGCUAAUACCGGAUGAUGACGAAAGUCCAAAGAUUUAUCGCCAGAGGAUGAGCCCGCGUUGGAUUAGGUAGUUGGUGUGGUAAAGGCCUACCAAGCCGACGAUCCAUAGCUGGUCUGAGAGGAUGAUCAGCCACACUGGGACUGAGACACGGCCCAGACUCCUACGGGAGGCAGCAGUGGGGAAUAUUGGACAAUGGGCGCAAGCCUGAUCCAGCAAUGCCGCGUGAGUGAUGAAGGCCCUAGGGUUGUAAAGCUCUUUUACCCGGGAAGAUAAUGACGGUACCGGGAGAAUAAGCCCCGGCUAACUCCGUG